CACAACAGGAUCGUACCACAAGGAUCUGCAAGUUUAUUUUCUAUUCUGAAGUUGAAAGAUAUUCGGCGCGAAUAAUAUCGUUCAAGCAAAAAGAAGGAAAUAAAGAGAGAUAUCAGCGAAUACAGGGAGGAGCCAGUGAUGAACAUGGACCCAAUAACUCUGAUGGAGGACAGGAGGAGGAGCUUCAAGGCGGCCUGGUACAACCCCUGGCUUGAAUAUUCAAACAAAUCAGACUGUGUUUUGUUACGCCUGUCUCAGAGACUGUUUUUGAUUCAAAAUUGGGUUUUAACAACUGGAAGAAGGCAACUUACAAAGAGGGGGGAUUUACAAUUCACGCAAGGUCUGAGCGGCACAAACAAGCAAUGAUUGCAUGGUGUCACGGACGUUGAAGGACGGGUCAGACCAAGGCGCAGCGUGAAAUGCAUACAUGUUUAUUAACAAAAUAAA